UACGUAUUGGGCAAGCGUUGUCCGGAUUUAUUGGGCGUAAAGAGCGUGUAGGCGGCCUGACAGGUCUGCUGUGAAAACUCGAGGCUCAACCUCGAGAUGUCGGCGGAAACCGUCUGGCUAGAGUCCGGAAGAGGAGAGUGGAAUUCCUGGUGUAGCGGUGAAAUGCGCAGAUAUCAGGAAGAACACCUAUGGCGAAGGCAGCUCUCUGGGACGGUACUGACGCUGAGACGCGAAAGCGUGGGGAGCGAACAGG
rnacentral:rRNA from 1 species